rnacentral:tmRNA from 1 species
GGGGGUGUACUGGUUUCGACUUGGAAUCAAAGUAAUAAAGGCAUGCAGAGGACGUCGGUUGGCCUCUUAAAAAAACCGAUAAGACAUUAACUGUCAAAACACAACCUGGGGCUGUAGAGCUCCAAGCCGCUUAAUACCUAACCCGUUUUAAGUAGCCGAUGACCUAGGGGCCCUGCCAGAGGCUUUAGGAACCAUCGUUAUAAUUCUGGUAUGAAUCUUUGCUUUUGGUCACUCAGAGCUGAGAUUCGAGAUUUUGUAGUGACACAUCCAUCUAUUACAGCGCACCUUCUGGUUAGAUGGACAAGGUAAACAAGGUGCUAAGCAUGUAGUCGUUAUUAUGGAGUUUGCUAAGGACGAGAGUUCGAUUCUCUCCACCUCCAA